CUAUUCUGGGGUUUGGAAGGGGAAUCCCCUUUCCCGGUUUAAGGAGGGUGCUCAGGAUGCAAAUAAAUGUUUCAAGGCAUCCGUCGAAGGGAAC
rnacentral:ncRNA from 1 species